rnacentral:rRNA from 1 species
AGGGAAUCUUCCGCAAUGGACGAAAGUCCGACGGAGCAACGCCGCGUGAGUGAAGAAGGCCUUCGGGUCGUAAAGCUCUGUUGCCGGGGAAGAACAAGCGCCGUUCGAACAGGGCGGUGCCUUGACGGUACCCGGCCAGAAAGCCACGGCUAACUACGUGCCAGCAGCCGCGGUAAUACGUAGGUGGCAAGCGUUGUCCGGAAUUAUUGGGCGUAAAGCGCGCGCAGGCGGCUUCGUAAGUCUGAUGUGAAAUCUUGCGGCUCAACCGCAAGCGGUCAUUGGAAACUGGGAGGCUUGAGUGCAGAAGAGGAGAGUGGAAUUCCACGUGUAGCGGUGAAAUGCGUAGAGAUGUGGAGGAACACCAGUGGCGAAGGCGGCUCUCUGGUCUGUAACUGACGCUGAGGCGCGAAAGCGUGGGGAGCAAAC